GUCAUCAUGGGUUUGACAGUACCAGGGAAACAAGAACACUGAUUUCUCCCUUUCUGUUAAAUUGUCCUAUAAUCUCCGCUUUCUCCAAAUCUAUGUUAUUGGCAUGGGUUUCUUCCAAAUUUGAUGUUAUUAACUAAAACCCAAAUCGGAAAAUGUGUCUUCCACUGAUGGAGCUAAAAAGGUCUUGGAAAUUCUGUACUUCGUUGAACGAAAUUCGCUUAAAGAGCUAUGAAAUUCGGGGAACAAGAUCAUUUGGAAAAGAGGAAGAUUUAUUGGGUGGGUUUGUUUUCCUUUUCUCUCCAUGAUAAAGUUCAUUUUAUUUGGUUUUUUUGUAAUUCUGGGUUUUGUUUAAAUUUUUUUCUCGUGGGAUUAUCUUGGUUGAGAUUUGGGGUUUAGGUUUGAUGUUUGAGCUGAUUAAAUUACCUGAAAGUUUUUAAGUUGAUGAAAAUGUUUGAGUUAUAAUGUCUGUUUUUGGGACUUAGAAUCGCAUGAGAGGAUGUAAGCAGUUGGUGAUCAUUCAACUACAUUCGACUAAUGUUUUAUGUUUACAAGAGGUUACACAAGAAAUGUACCAGAUAUUCCACCUGGUGGUGGGAAGCAUAUCGAUGUUCGGCUUCAUAUGAUUUCGAGAAUGUCAAACCUUAUUUCUGUAUGCAGGUAGUAUAUGAUUCACAUCUGUUUCACCCAUUUGCUAAUCUUUUCGAUAUUCAAUUGAAUGACUUUCAUAUUUAUUUCUCGAUUGACUUGUUAUACUUGGCAGUUGAGUAAAUUAACAGUAAAAUUUUAUAUAGCUGUAAACCCUUCAGCAACUCUAAAAUUUGGUAAGUACACUCUUUAGAAAGCCUUAGUAAUCUUGAACUGAUUACAGUAUUUAUCGAACGGCGCAGGAAUCUUUCAUCAAUCAGUUAUAAAGGUCUGAUACUUAUUGAGCUAUCUUGAAUCUGUAAGUUAGAUACCCUGUAAGUGCAAACCUUUUUCAAAAAUUAGGUUGUGUGAUAGUGCUACUAUUUUAUCUUCAGGUUUAUAACAUUUGUGUUUCUCCGGGGACCUUUCGAACAACAAGAUAUCUGGUCCUACACCUUCUUCGAUUGAUGACUUGGAACGUCUCCUUACACUAAAUUUAAGCAAGAACCGUUUAACUGAAGGGAUUCCUUCAGAGUUUGGAAAUCUAGGAGUGUGAUGGAGACAAUAUAACUAUUCAUUUUGUUAUACGGGUACUUACUAACUGCUUCACUUUUAUAAGCAAAAUUGUGCAUAUUUUCUUUCAAACGGUCCUAUAAAAUAAAUAGAGUACUUCGCCAACACGGUUGUAUAAAUUUUAAUGGGUACCUUGUUUUUCACAGUACUAUAAAUUAUGAUGGUUAAUUGGCUUUGAGGGUCGUAUAAAUUAAACUAAGUACCCAAUCUAGUUGGUAGUAUAAAAAAAAUUGAGUGAAUUCUGCAUUUUGUUAUAUGGGUACUUACUAACUCUUGUUGUAGUUUGGAGAGUAAUUAUAUUCAUUGUAAAUUCUACAUUUUGUUAUUGCUUUGUUAUAUAUGUGGAGAAUGAUGUUGGUUGUUGUUUUUUAGUUCAGAGCUGGGGAAUUUGUUGUUUCAUGGCUGCUGGGGACCUUUUUAAUGGUAUUUGUGAUUCUUCCAGUCCUUCGUGGCCCAUGGAGUUUGGAAACGACUACAUCUCUUCUAUCGUAUGUGCUUCUAUGGGUUUCUUUUGCUUACCUGAUAUAAUAAUUUUUAUCAUGCCGGUCAGAAACUUGAAAUUUUGAAGUUGGUGAAAUGAAAAUGGAUUAUUUUUAUGUUCUACAAGCAAGUGCAGAGUUGGCUUUCUGAAAAGGAAAAGAGGGGAGAAAUAUUAGGGAAAGUAAGCAUGGUUAUUAGAAGUUGGCUUUCUUAAUGGGAAAGUGGGGAGAAAUAAUGGUAUUGGUAGUUGUUAAAUGUAUAUUAAGAAUAUCUAAAACAUCUUUUAAGCAUUUCAUAAUUUGUAGAUCUCUUGCAGAUAGCUUGGUGAUUAUAGUUAUAGAAUUGUUGUCAACAAAUCCUGUUGAAGAUAGAGCCUUGCAUUACAAUUUUAAUAGUAAAAUAUCAAAAUUAUCAAGUUAUAAUAGAAGUUUAUGGACACAAUAAGUCCUCAUUUUCUGUCUAAAAGUUGAAGUUGUGAGCAGCUGACUAAACACAUGGUUGGAAAACUAUGUCGUUGUUGGUUAGGAGUUUGAACGUGAGAGAUGCUCACUGGAAUAACAAACACAGUCGCAAAUCAAAGCCCUAUGAAGAUUAAGACGGAUACAUCUUUAGUUCCCUCAAUUUCAGGGCCUUUUCCUACUUCAGUCCAUCCAGUGAUUGAGUCAAUGAUGAGUCGUCAAUCAAUUCAUGUCGGAAGUACGUCGCCGGCAACAGUAAAAAUGGAGCCAAACACCACACCUUCUUCAAAUUUUCCCCAUCCUCCAUCUGUAUCUCAUGGUCCUUAUCAGGGAAUCACAAACUUGCAAUCUUCUCCACCUUCGUCCACUUCACAAUAUUUGAUCACAAACAAUGACAAUGUUCAGGAAUUUAAACUUGUAGUUGGUGGUCUAUCCGAACCGUUAUGUCCAAUAGGCCCUGUGGCAGAAAGUGCGAGUAUUUUGAACAAUAUCUCUCAAAUACGGCAAGCUAUGAACUCUGCUAAUUUAUUUAUUUUUUUGAUUCAAAAGUGA